rnacentral:rRNA from 1 species
GAUGAACGCUGGCGGCGUGCCUAAUACAUGCAAGUCGAGCGAACUUUUGGGAGCUUGCUCCCAAAAGUUAUCGGCGGACGGGUGAGUAACACGUGGGUAACCUGCCUGUAAGACUGGGAUAACUUCUGGAAACCGGAGCUAAUACCGGAUAACAUUUAAGACCACAUGUCCUUCAAUUAAAAGGUGGCUUUUAGCUACCACUUACAGAUGGACCCGCGCCGCAUUAGCUAGUUGGUGAGGUAACGGCUCACCAAGGCGACGAUGCGUAGCCGACCUGAGAGGGUGAUCGGCCCAACUGGAACUGGGACACGGGCCAAACUCCCACGGGGGGCAGCGGGAGGGAAUAUUGCGCAAUGGGCGAAAGCUUGAAGGAGCAACGCCGCGGGAGGGAAGAAGGGCUUCGGGUCGUAAAACUCUGUUUUUAGGGAAAAAAAAAGGUGUAAGCAACUAGGCACGUCUUGAGGGGACCUAAUCAGAAAACCACGGCUAACUACGUG